GCGGGGAUUCCUGAGUGGUCAAAAGGGCAGGACUUAAGAUCCUGUGGCUUAGUGCCUUCGGAGGUUCGAAUCCUCCUCCCCGCA
rnacentral:tRNA from 1 species